rnacentral:ncRNA from 2 species
CUUUCAUCCAGAGAGGCUGAGGGAACGGCCCGAUGACGCCUCGGCAACCGGCGGAGACCCGCAGCGGUGCCAAUUCCGACCCAGGGGUAGGGACCCCUGAUGGGGCAGGGGCCCCAGGGGAAAGAUGGGAG